UACAGAGGUCCCAAGCGUUGUCCGGAAUCAUUGGGCGUAAAGAGCGUGUAGGCGGCCCGGUAAGUCCGCUGUGAAAGUCGGGGGCUCAACCCUCGAAAGCCGGUGGAUACUGUCGGGCUAGAGUGCGGAAGAGGCGAGUGGAAUUCCUGGUGUAGCGGUGAAAUGCGCAGAUAUCAGGAGGAACACCGAUUGCGAAGGCAGCUCGCUGGGACGUAACUGACGCUGAGACGCGAAAGCGUGGGGAGCAAACAGG
rnacentral:rRNA from 1 species